UAAAUAACACUUGGACAAUUAUGUCCUAAAAAAAAUUCAAAAUGACAAAGCAUGCUCUCCUCAUUUUCUAAACCCUCAAAAUUUCUCUUUCUUGUUCCUCAACAUGUUGUGCCUUACUCUCCCGUGCUUCCGAUCUUCGUCAUUCUUUUCGAUCAUCCUUGGUCAUCUUUCGGUCAUCCUUCGUCCUCUCUUCUUCUUCCUUUGUGAGCAUCACAUGUUAACCAAUUCUUCAAUAAUUUUUUUUCUUCUCAUUAAAUUUUGAAUUGUUAUGGAUUAGGAUUAUGCUUUUGUUUGUUUCAUUAAGCUUGUGAAAUGUUCCUCAAUCAAGUUUCUAUAAAAAGAAAGAAAGCAGAAUGGUGUGAUAAAAAUAUUGAGAUUAUGUUGAAAGUAUGCAUAGAAGAUGUGAAUGCUGAAAAUAAACCUCAUAACCACUUCACUAAGCUAGGAUGGGCAAAUAUUGCAAGAAAAGUUCAAUAAGACAACAAAUUUGAGAUAUGAAUAUAAAAAAUUCAGAAAUAGGUGAGAUUCUUUGAAAAAAGAAUGAUAAUUAUGUGCUAAGCUUAUUGGGAAAGACAUAAGUCUUGGCUGGGAUGGGGAGAAGAAAACCAUUGCUGACAGUGAUGAAUGGUGAGAAGCCAAAAUUCAGGUAUGUGGAGACCAAUUUUGUUCUUUUGUUUUUCAUGUGUGAUUCUGUUUCUAUUUGCUGUUAUUUUUCUUAUUUUCUUUGUUGUUAUUUUUUAUGUGUGGAGGCCAGUCAACGAAAAAUUGUUAAGGCUGGGAUUAUUUCACAAUAGUCUCUAUUUGCUGUUAUUUUUUUUAUUUUCUUUGUUGUCCUCAAUUCUGAUAAUAAGGAGUUUGGCUCCAUUUUACAUCAAUCAAUAACAGAUUCUUAUCCUUUUCUAUGGACCAGGAGGGGUUUAAAGUAAUCCAAGGGAAAUGUCAUUAAUCUUAAGGAUUUUGAGUUUUAACAUUAAGAGAAUAUCCAAACCUUGAAAUAAAAAGAAUUAUCACAUGAAAAUCAAUAUUGGUUUAUAUUUCAUACCAUAAAUACAAAUAUAUUUUUCUGCGUUGAUUCUUGAGUUACGAAUUAAGAGCCAAAAUAUUGAUUGUUUAGACCCAAAUACUGUCCAAAGUAGUAGUUAUACUAGUCAGAAAAAUGUAGGAAUUUGUAGCAGCAUAUAUAGGGGAGGAGAAAACAGGUCAUAGUAUCAUACUUCUUCAAGGAAAUUAGAAAAGAGCGAGAUAGUUGAUUGUAGACGUUCGGAAUCCAAUUUGAUGCUAUGACCUUGGCUAUCCGUAUUGCUUCAUGAAUAGUAAUAUGUACUAUGAAGUCCUUAUAGCAGCAAAAGGUUCAUUAAAAACAGAAGCCUCAGUAACCCAAGCAUUGAUGAAAGAACCAAGGUUGGACAGAUCAUAGUAUCAAACAUGUAGUGAUUGACCCGCCCAAGCUACUGCUUUUCUUCUUAGCUUUCUUCCAAUGCCGUGGUAUAAAUUCCAAACUCACCUUUAUCCAAUAAAUAUUUUAAAAUAAAAUAAUGCUUGACCUUGACUUCUUUUUUUGUAUUCCUAUCAAAAGAUUUACAAUUUAUUAAAUUAAAUUCAAUAAUUCCUUUAUACAAUAGUGAAGGUCAUUUGAAUUUAAACUCACCUUUUAUACAACAAUCUUUAACCUUGGUCUUGACUAUUGCAGUAAAGCUUAAGUAAUGAUUCUUCUUUUGUUUCUUAAUAUCAUUCACAUACACACAUGACACAUGCCUUGCUCCUUGCUUCAUUCCAUCACUUUUCUUCCCAAAAAAAUUGAAUGGACAUGGAAAAUAAAAAAAUUCUAGAGUAUUGGGUUGUGUCACUACUUUGCAUGCUUUUGUUGGGUCAUUGGAUCUCUGUUUAAGCUACCCUUGCACCCUCUCGAGUGCUGCUAGGUACACCCAACAUUUUUGCUGGUGCACCCAACAAAAUUUAUAAAUGCCAAAAAUGCCCCUGGGUUUUUUUUCCCUUAUAAAAGCUUUUUUUUUCCUGCACUUCACAGCUGCCAUUUUUGUUCGUUUUUUUUCUCUGUUUUUGUGGUUUUCAUGCGGCAUUGUCUCAGGUUCGUUGUGAAUGGUUAGGUGCGGUGAAGGUGAAGGUGCGUUGCGGUGGUCGGCGGCGGCAAACAAGAUGGACGAAGAUGAGUGGAUGUAUGAAAUAAUGUCUAAACAAGUGGAUAUAGAUUAUGAAAAUGAAGAAGCAUAUGGUGUUUGAGUGCCGAGAGGAUGUUUUGCGGUGGGCUCGAUCCGUUGCUCAUGAAAAUGGAUUUGUGUCGGUGAUUUUAAGGUCGGACACAAACACAGGUAGUAGAGGAAGGACUACGUUUGUGUUAAUUAGCUAUGAAAGGAGUGGCGAGUAUAGGUGUAGGAAAAAAGAAUUUAUCAGAAGAGACAUUGAGACUAGGAAAUAUGGGUGUCCCUUCUAGCUUCGUUGCAAGCCAGUGGUUGGAGGAGAAGACUGGAUGAUGAAGUUGAUUUGUGGAGUGCAUAAUCAUGAAUUGGCCAAGUCAUUAGUUGGACAUCCAUAUGCAGGGCGAUUGACUAAAGCUAAAAAAACACUUAUUGCUGAUAUGACGAAGUCCAUG